rnacentral:rRNA from 1 species
AAAAGGUAACGGAGGCGCUCAAAGGUUCUCUCAGUACGGUCGGAAAUCGUACGUAGAGUGUAAAGGCAAAAGAGAGCUGGAUUGCAAGACAUACAGGUCGAGCAAGGAUGAGAACCGGAUGUAGUGAGCGGGUGGUUCGGCGUGGAAGGGCAUUCGCUAAACGGAUAACAGCUACCCUGGGGAUAACAGGCGGAUCCCCACCAAGAGUCCACAGCGACGGGGAGGUUUGGCACCUCGAUGUCGGCUCAUCACUUCCUGGGGCUGUAGUAGGUCCACAGGGGUGGGCUGUUCGCCCAUUAAAGUGGUACGCGAGCUGGGUUCAGAACGUCGUGAGACAGUUCGGUCCCUAUCCGUCGCAGGCGUAGGAAAUUUGAGAAGACCUGUCCUUAGUACGAGAGGACCGGGAUGGACGUACCUCUGGUGUACCAGUUGUCCUGCCAAGGGCAUGGCUGGGUAGCUAUGUACGGAAUGGAUAAGCGCUGAAAGCAUCUAAGCGCGAAG